CAUCCGUCUCACUCGCUUCGCACCCCGACCGCGAUAGGGCUGUUUUGAUCGGUUUUCUCCCUCGCAACGGCCACGGUUCUGGGAGGACACUAGUCGCGCGAGGCACAUGGGCGGGCUCAGGGUCUCUGGUGGACUCUGCCGGCGAGGUAAUGCGGCCGCAGGUUCGAAAGAGUGCGGGCAAAGGACUCGCACGACGAGCACCCGAACGAUGCACAUGCUUUUAGUGGCCUAGAAAACCACGCGACCUGAUCGCUUAACCACGAAGCCGAGUUCGACUGGACAGGCUCGCUGACCUCGCUACUCGCACACAGCUCGACUGCAGUUCUUCCAUGUAUAUACGGCGCUCUACGUGCAAUAACAACUCGUCAGAUAAC
rnacentral:misc_RNA from 1 species